rnacentral:rRNA from 1 species
CUACGGGUUGCUGCAGUGAGGAAUAUUGCACAAUGGGGGGAACCCUGAUGCAGCAACGCCGCGUGGAGGAUGAAGCAUUUCGGUGUGUAAACUCCUUUUAUAUGUCAAGAAAAUGACGGUAGCAUAUGAAUAAGCACCGGCUAACUCCGGCCAGCAGCCGCGGUAAUACGGAGGGUGCAAGCGUUACUCGGAAUCACUGGGCGUAAAGGACGCGUAGGCGGGUUGGAAAGUCAGGUGUGAAAUCCUACAGCUUAACUGUAGAACUGCACUUGAAACUUCUAAUCUAGAGUAUGGGAGGGGGAGAUGGAAUUAGUGGUGUAGGGGUAAAAUCCGUAGAUAUCACUAGGAAUACCUAAAGCGAAGGCGAUCUCCUGGAACAUUACUGACGCUAAGGCGUGAAAGCGUGGGGAGCAAACAGGAUUAGAUACCCCGGUAGUC